rnacentral:rRNA from 1 species
GAACGGGUGAGUAAUGUAUCGGAACGUACCCAGUAGCGGGGGAUAACUACGCGAAAGCGUGGCUAAUACCGCAUAUGCCCUACGGGGGAAAGGGGGGGAUCGCACGACCUCUCACUAUUGGAGCGGCCGAUAUCGGAUUAGCUGGUUGGUGAGGUAGAGGCUCACCAAGGCUGCGAUCCGUAGCUGGUUUGAGAGGACGACCAGCCACACUGGGACUGAGACACGGCCCAUACUCCUACGGGAGGCAGCAGUGGGGAAUUUUGGACAAUGGGGGCAACCCUGAUCCAGCCAUCCCGCGUGUGCGAUGAAGGCCUUCGGGUUGUAAAGCACUUUUGGCAGGGAAGAAAGGGCGCUGGUUAAUAGCUGGCGUUGAUGACGGUACCUGCAGAAUAAGCACCGGCUAACUACGUGCCAGCAGCCGCGGUAAUACGUAGGGUGCAAGCGUUAAUCGGAAUUACUGGGCGUAAAGGGUGCGUCGGCGGUUUGGCAAGAAAGGUGUGAAAUCCCAGGGCUUAACCUUGGAACUGCACUUUUAACUGCCAGGCUAGAGUACGUCAGAGGGGGGUAGAAUUCCACGUGUAGCAGUGAAAUGCGUAGAGAUGUGGAGGAAUACCGAUGGCGAAGGCAGCCCCCUGGGAUGAUACUGACGCUCAGGCACGAAAGCGUGGGGAGCAAACAGGAUUAGAUACCCUGGUAGUCCACGCCCUAAACGAUGUCAACUAGCUGUUGGGGCCGUUAGGCUUUAGUAGCGCAGCUAACGCGUGAAGUUGACCGCCUGGGGAGUACGGUCGCAAGAUUAAAACUCAAAGGAAUUGACGGGGACCCGCACAAGCGGUGGAUGAUGUGGAUUAAUUCGAUGCAACGCGAAAAACCUUACCUACCCUCGACAU